rnacentral:lncRNA from 1 species
GUGGAUAGCAAGAACCCGGAUGCGAACGCGAAUUCGAGCUUGUUGGCUUCGUUCGGGUUAUCGGGUUCUAAAAUCGACGGAUUUUGGUGGGUUCUUGUUGUUCAAGAGAUCGUCGCGGCGUUUCUUUUGGUUAUGGUAUUGUAGUUGGAAAAAAAAAAAAAAAAAAAAAUUGUGAGGGGGAGUUAGUGAUCUUAGUUUUGUAAGUUGUUUUGACUUAUGAUUAUACAUCUAUAGUUGCUUUUUUGGCUAAUAUUUGUAUAUCUUUGUAAUGUAUAAGAUGGAAGCAAGGAAUAUUAUGGUUGGGAAAUGAGAUCAUUAAAUGGAAUUAAUUCUAGUGCUAAAUAGUUGAAUGGAAAGUGAGCACUAAUCAUAUCAUUAAUUUGCUGUUUGUUUUGUUAGAAUUGUUAAUUUCGAAAUAUUAUUAAUGAGUCAGUGUUAUAUAUUAUAUAUUUAGCAGUGUUAUUAAUGAGUUUAAUUCUUUUAAAAUGGGUAUUUUAUUAGGGGUUAAACUUGAGAUACCUAUUAAAAGACUAAUCAAUGAUACAUGGUUAGUAGUUUUAGCAGUGGAUUUUAAGGUUUUUUUUAAAAAUUUUUUUUUAAUUUUUGAAAUUUUUUGUACAUUGCAGCAACAGUGAAACAGAAAGGCAAACAAAUUGCCUUCUCAAAUCAUUGCAGAAAGUUGCAGCAGAUCAGAGUGUGAUUUGAAAGGAGUGGAGGGCAGUCCAAACAAUGUGGGCUAUAAUUUAAUGCAGAAGAUGAAGAGAUUGGUAUUUUAUUUUUUUGGGUAAACUUGAAAUAUUACUUCUGUAGUUUCGCCUUUUUUAAUUUUAGUACCAUAUGAUUUAAAAUGUAUCAAUUUUGUAUUUUGUUUUUUUUUUUUCUCGUCAACUCCUUCGUUAACAUUUUAUUAAAUUAUAUAUAAAAAACUUCAGAUAUUUCAUCUAGAUUUAUCGAAUAUUCAUUUUAAUACCUUUUAGUUUUAACUUUGUCACUAAUUUAACGAAAAAAAUUAGUAGAUGGGAUAAUAAAAAAAAUUUGAAAUCACGGGGUAUUAAAUUGAUACAUUUUAAACCACAAGGUAUUAAAAUAAAAAAGUACAAAAUUAUAGGGGCGGUAUUUGAAGUUUUUUCUUAUUUUUUUAUCUUAUUUUUAUUUCUAAGAACCAAAAUCUUUAGUGAUAAUUGCCCCUAUACCUCUCAAAAUUUUUAAAAUAUUUUAUUUACCUCUAUUUUUUUAUUUCAAAUAAAUCUUUUAUAUAUUUUUUCGUUAUUGAAAAAUGCCCCUACUGUUAGUGCCCGUUAAAUCAUUCCAGGUUAAAUCUGAAUUAAAUUUUUAUAAUAGUUAAAAAAUAGUAAAAUACAUAUUUUGUCCCUAACUUAAGGGCAAAUUAAAAAAAUUGGUGAUACUAGAAGAGUAUAUUUGAAAAUACAAAAAGUCAAAAUACUUCUUUUGCCCCACAUUAAAGGCAAAUAAGAAAAGUUGGUGAUAAUAAAAGGAUAUAUUUGAAAGGACAAAAUAGUAAUUUAAUAGAGAUAACGGUUAUUACUAACAAUUUACUAAGAGAAUUUAACUCUAUCACUAUAUUUAAAAAACUUUGGAACUUUAAAAAGGUAUUUUUAAUAUUAACUUUCCAAAAAGGGUAAAUAAAAAAGUCAAUCGGAAACUUUUUAGGAGUAUAUAAGCAAUUGUCCCAAAUAUUUAAGGCUUCGUUUGGAAUUGCGGGGAAAUAGCGUUACGUGCAAUGAGAAAGUACGAUGAAAAAAUACUAUGUUUGUUUUUAUACCUAAUAUUGCGUUUCGCAUAUCGCGAUGAGUCGGUUACAAUAUAUUUUCUGCGGUUUCAUCGAAGAACGUAGAAAUAUAUUUUUAUAUAUUUUUUAUUCCAACUCUAUCUUAUCUAAUAGCGUUUGAUGGGACUCGAUACCAAACAAAGCGUGAGUAAACUAGCUAUGUUUUUUUUCUCUUUUUCUUUUUUGAUCAAUCAACAACUUAGCCUGGAUUCUCCAAGCACUGCUAGGCUGCUACAGUUGGAGACAUACAGCAGAGCUGUGCAGCUGUGUAGAAGAACAGCAUAGAGUGGGAGGCUGCUGCUGCUGCUUUGCUGCUGCUGCUGUUGCUGUUGAUGCAGUGCUGCUGCUGCUGCUGCUGCUUCUUUUGAAGAGUAGGCUCACUGUUUGAGGUGGGCUGUGUGUAUUUAGCAUGUCUAGGGACUAGGGUGGAAGUUACUCUCUCUCUCUCUCUCUCUAUCUAGAUCUCUCUCUCUCUAGAUCUCUCUCUCCAUGUAUGUAUAUAAAUAUUUGUAGCUGUUGCAGUGGUGCAGCUUCUGUGAUGAUUGAAUGUGGGGACCUCUCAAAGUACAACAUUCUUUUUUUUUACUUUAGAGGUGAGUUAAAUUGGCUAAGUUUCCAUUGGGUCAAGGCAAUAAUUGUAUGUAUGUACAUUGGUACUCUUUGGUACCCUCUCUAUCCCUCUCUCCCCCCUCUCAUGUGUGCAGAAGGUUUAAGGUAUACUAAUACAGUAACAUGUGCGAUGCGAUGAAUAAAUAAUUAGAAAAAAAAAAUAACAACAAAGAAAGAGAAAACGAUAAUGAAAGAAACGAUGAUAAAGAUUCAUCUUGCCGAUGAAGAAAACUGAAGGAAGAGGAAGAUGAACAGUUCGGCUCAAUGCAAAGGUGUGCGCGGUUUGGUUCACGCAAAAAAAAAAAGGUUUACUUGGUUCGAUUUUAAGUAUAGAAAGAGAAAAUCAGGUUGAUUUCAAACAAAGAAAGAGAAAACAUGUAGAAAAUUUAAGCUAGUUCGGGAGAGCCCACACCUAACAAUAAUCAGUUCAGUUCAAGCAAAGAAAGAGAAAAAUCCGGUCCGAUUCAAGCAAAGAAAGAAGAAAACAUGUGGAGCAUCUGAGCCGAUUUUAGUUAGAGCCCACACUCAACAAUGAAAGACAUGUUGCCAUGUGUCAAAUUUAAGAGGAAUAAUGUAUAGACAUAAAGGUAUAGAUAUAGAAGGUAUAGAUAUAGAGGUAUAAAUGAUGCAGUAAAAAAAAACUAAUUAGGAUUUUUAAAAAUUUUUAAUUUUUAAUUUUUUAAUUUAUUUUAUAUGCUUUUUCACAUUUUUAAGAUGUAAAAUUUACAUCACUUUACAAUAUUUCAAACUAUAUUAUAUUCAACCUAAAUAUUUUAAAAUAUAAAUUCAAAUAUAACAUAACAAAUUUAAGAGGGAUAAUGUAUAGGUAUAGAGGUAUAGAUGAUGCAGUAAAGAAAACAACUAAUUAGGAUUUUUAAAAAUUUUCAAUUUUUUUAAUUUAUUUUAUAUGUUUUUUUAGAUUUUUUAGAUGUAAAAUUUACAUCACUUUACAAUAUUUUAAAAUAUAUUACAUUUAACCUAAAUAUUUUAAAAUAUAAGCUCAAAUAUAACUCCAAAUAUAUAUAUAUAUAUAUAUAUAUAUAUAUAAUUUAAUGUAAAAUUAAUUUGGAUUCUGAUCAUUUUUGGGGUUAGGUUUGGAUCAAAUACAGUCAACAUUCACAACUGCAUUAGAAUCAGUCGAUUUUUUAUUUUUGAUAUCUACAUUUAAAAUUAUAUUCGUUUAGUAUCAAAUUAAUUUGUUCCAUUUAAUUCAGACUCGCAUAAAAUUUUGAAUAUCUAUAAACAUUAGAGUUCGUUUGUUUUGGUGUAAGUGGAGGGAUGGAACUCAAGUUCCAUCACUUUCGUUAUUUGUUUUGGUGUAAGUCAAAAAUAUAGUGUAACUCAAGUUACGUUAGAUCUCUACUUCACCAACUCUCGACUUCCUCCUCUAAAGUGCCGAACUCGACUUCCGCUACACUUAACCCCCUCUAAAAUCUUUAUUAAAUAGUAAAACCUAAACUCUACUUCUUUUAUAAUGGAUUAGAAUUACCUUAUUUAUAAUAAACUAGAAUUAUCUUUAAAUAAUAAUAAUAAAUUUAAUUAUAUAAUAGGUUAAAUUUUAUAGUGGUAAAUUUACUACUUCAUUUAAGAGAUAAUGAGAUCCGCUUACUUACAUCAAAACAAACAACGAAAUUCAAAAAAUAAAUUUUACCAGUACCAAAUUAUACCAAAACAAACAGCAGAAGUGAUUGAAUUUAACUUUCAGAUCGUACGAGUUACGUCAAAAUAAAUAAUAAAAAAAUAAUUAUAUUUUAGAAAAAUUUAAAUAUUAUUAUAUUUGACUUACGUUGGAUCUACAAAUUCGUCAAUCCAAACGCCCCUGAGGUUCCUACCUCUUGGUGGCUUUAUGGUACAUCAAACAAUGCAGCAUUUUGUUUGUUCCCUAUGUAGGAUUUUGCACUCCAAUGCAUGAUGCUAAUAUCCUUUGAUUUGAUGGUUAUGAUGACUCUCUCUCUCUCCUCUCUCUCUCUCCCACCAUUCAAUCACACUUGAUUUGAUUGGUUGUGAUGGGAAAGAGAUAUAAUGGUCCUCAAAGAUGGAUAAAUCUUUAAUAUAACAUAAUAUAAAUACAAAUAAAUAAAAAAUUAAAAAAAUGCUAUUUAUAUAUUUUAUAUAAAUGUGUAUCUUUUAUUUUAUCCAUCCCAGAAUUAUUUUAAUUUUUAAAAUUUUUAAUUUUGAAAUAUAACAAUCACAGGACUAGUAGAAUAAAAUUAAUCUAUCCCAAAAUUCAUAAAAUUCUUUGAUUUUUAGAAUUACAAAAACUAAUUUGAAUGGGGUGUAAAAUUUAAACUGGUUAAAAGUAUGUGGAUAUACUGAUGUGCAUAUUUAUAUUUUUAAAGUAAAAAUAUGCAAUACUUAAACUAUAGAGUAUUUUGAGGCGACCAUUCAAUUUUUCAAAAUUUUGAUUUUAUCAUCCAAACUUUUAGUUUGUUUGAUUUGAUUCAGUUAAAGACAUUUUGAGGCGAAUAUCUCAUUUAUUUUUAUAGAUUAGAUUAUUAUAUCUUAUACAAUUCUUGUAACUACAAAUUAAUAAAAGUAAGUAGUUUAAAUUUUAAAGUUAAAAGUAACAUUGCCGACUCAAAUCAAAUAAAUUAAAAAAAGAAAAAUCAAAAUUCAGAAAGGCCGCUAUCUACAGUGCAUAGCUCAAGUAAGUUUUGUGCAUUUUUACUUCUUUUUAAUUAUGUAUUUGUUAUAAUGCAAUGUGUUGUUAUAAUGCAAUGUGUUCAUACUAUUUCAUAUAGGUUUUCCUAUUGAAAGUGGGCCUAAACGGGUAUCAGGCUUCGGAUUCGGGUAUAGGCCAAGAUUCACUCCUUCCAAUAGUUUAGGCCUAAAGCCGCUCUGAUGCCCAUUUAGUUUAAUGGAGCCCCGCGGAACAAUUCCGACCCGGCCCAGUUCCACUCCCAUAUUACAUCAGUGUGUAUAUAUAUAUAUAUAUAUAUAGAUGAAGAGAUGAGAGAGAGAGAGAGAGAGAGAGAGAGAGAAGAGAAUUAGGCUGGAAUACUAUUAAUAGUAAACGUCUUUUGCUAUCAGUUUUAACCCUUGGAUGAAAAAUUGUAGGGUCGGAUGAUAUUUAGUCGGUUAGUUGAGUGGUCCCCCUUGGGUUGAGUGGUCCGCACUGGUUAUAGUAUUUAAUCCAAUGGUUAGAAAUAAUGAAAAGAGUUGAUCCAAAGGCUAAAAAAUGGUAGCAACAAUGAAAUUUCUACUAAUAGAUAGCCCAGUCCAACUCUUCUCUCUCUCUCUCUCUCUCUUCUCUCUCUCUCUCUUCUCUCUCUUCUAUAUAUAUAUAUAUAUAGCUUGACUGAGCUACUAUCGGUAGUAAACGCGCCCAGUUUACUACUGAUUUGUUUUCGAUAUAAGCUUUCAAAUCACGAUCAACACUGUUGAAUAUAAUCUAAACUUAUCUAAACUAUCUAGAAAUUAAAUUUCAUAAAUUUCAACAUCAUUAACCGAACGAUAAAGGGUCACAAAUUCUGCAAUUUUUUAAUGGCGAGUAUGAUGCGUUUGUGCUCUUUAACGAUAUAGAAGAGUCCAAAUCGGCUGAUUUAUUGUUAGAAAAUUUUUUUGACUAUUUAAAACAAGAUCUAGAAUUCUAGAUCUUGAAUAGAAAAAUUGUAUCAUCACUUUUUGAAGGAUAUUCAUUUUCAGCCAUCCAUUUUAUGCCCACUUGAUAGAUUAGAGAAUAAUAUCAAAGAAUGUCACGCCCCGGAUUACACGUUCCCCGGGCACGCCGACAAAUGCCGAUAUUACAAGAAAUUUUUCCUGUAUACGAAGCGAUAGUGUACCUGUAAAUCAAACACUACUACGAACAGUAGUAGAGAGCUGCUAGAGAAAACUGAAGCUAAAUAAAACAGAGUUUCAUAUACAUAUUCAGAUCCAAAAUACAGAGCUACUCGCACUGGCGAGUUAAGUCAAUAUAUACAUAAACUCGAAACAAAACAUCUACCUGACAGUAGGGCACCUCUAGCUCAGCACGUUCGGGUAGGGCUCGUAACUCGCGACGCCCUUUGCCUCGAUCCUGGUCCGCAGACGGGUGCAGCCGCGAAGCUGUGGCUCUGCAAAACAUAGCGUAAUAACUGGUAGCGUGAGACUACUGUAAAAACAAAUAGUCCUCAGUGGGUACCUGCCCAAACAACAUCGGUCACCCACUAAGUCUAUCGAAGGGAGCAAAGAUAGAAGGAAAGCAGGAAGCUCUCUCAUCCGCUAUCAUCACUACACUAUCUGCUCUACAUAACACUGUCGGAAAUGUCAAAUCUGACCCAAAUCCAUGCGGACUGUAAGCAUACCCGUCCCCGCGGACUGUGAAUACACCCGUCCCUGCCCCGUUGUGACUGUCAAGCUCUAUCCACACUAAAUGGUGGUGAGAGCAAGUCCAACUGCAUGAGCGACACCAAGCGAAAGCACAAAGCCUGACUCCGGAGUGGCACUCGUGGGCGCUACCCAACGAGUAUGCAGCGUUAUCUCUGUCGAGCUCAAACAGGCUCCAACUAGCCAAGUACAAGUAAACAGGGUCUCAAAGACAGGUCUACAAACCAAACCACGUGCCCUGCACAAUCGCCUGUGACCAAAACAAGAAUCUGGGUCCCACCGCUAACCCGAACGGCACCCAACGACCCGAAACAGCCUAAACUCUGCUAAAAAUAAGCUCGCGCAUUCCAGCACGAGCAGUAAAUGCCUUCUAAUGCCUGGGGUACUCACAACCCGAAAUACAAUAACUGUAUAACAAUACAACGGCCCCUAAGGCUAAAUCAGGUAGUUAACAUAUGCGAUCGUUAUCGCGUUUCUCCUAAGUCAAAUCCAAGUCCAAAUGUAUGUUCAUAUUUAUUAUCAUGUUCUCAAAUCGUAUUUAUCCAAGAUAUAUCAAUGAGAUAGAGCUACACAUGAUUUAUACAACUACAAAUCAUACAUGGUCGACUAAUGCUAUACUUAGGAAUAAACGAUGUAACCCACCUCAAAAGCUAAUUCAGAAAUAGCGAGAAGUCGAUAGAAGAAGAAAUUCGGCAAUGCUCGGCCUCCCAACGGCACUACCCGAGCACGCACGCCUCCACGGCUCGCCGGCGCGAAUGUACGUCAUCAAGCUCCACUAAAGCCUCACGAGUUCUCCCUUUCAAAAUAGAGAGAGAGAGAAAUUGUAAAUCACAAUUUCCCUCUGCAUCUCAAGCAUAUAGGCUACAAGAUAAGGAUGCAUGGGGGUGCACGUGGCAUCCAAGCCACCCCAUGCAUCACAACGAAUACAAAGAAGUAAAUAAUAAAUAAAUAAAUAAAACAGAGAUACUACAUCCCCCCCACUAACAAAAAGUUUCGUCCCCGAAACUUAUAAACAUACCUCAAGACGGAGUAUCAAACAGGUAGGGUAGGACUCUUCAUCACCGCCUCCGACUCCAAGUCGCCUCGCCGCUCAGUGAUUACUCCACUGCACCUUACAAAGGGUAUGACCCGGUUGCGCAAUCUCCCUCGGACUCAUGCAGCAGAUCCGCACCGGUCUCGCUCCUCGUAGCUCAGGUCCUCGCCAAUCUCAGCGGAGUGAAGUCGAUCACGUGGGAGGGUCGACACAAUAUUUCCUCAAAGCCGAGACGUGGAACACAUCAUGAAUGCCGGGCUAGCGUGUGUAGAGAAUCCUGUAAGCAACUGGCCCGACUCGCUCCAAUACCUCGAAAGGCCUACAAAGUGGACUGAGCUUUCACGUAUACCAAAUCGUGCGAAUCCCUCUGGACGGCGAGACUUUAAGAAAACAUGAUCUCCCACCUUGAAACUCCAAGUCUCGUCUCCGGGUAUCCGCAUAGCUCCUCUGUCGACUCUGGGCUGCUAAUAUGUGCCGUCGCGCCUCUUUUACCUUUCUCAGCCUCAAGAAUUCUCAGCCAAGCGUCCUCCUCAUCCCCACAUCACUCCAAAACAAAGGGGAUCGAAUCUGCGGGCCAUCAACGCUUCAAACGGAGCCAUCGGAUGCUUCGCUUGAUAGCCGUUUGUUUGUACCAAACUCAACCAGUCUCUGCUUUGAUACCACCUCCUCCCAAAGUUCCAAGGACACAUGCUCAGCAUGUCCUCUAGAGUCUGAAUGGUCCGCUCUGACUGACCAUCUGUCUGUGGGUGAAAAGCUGUGCUGAACUGCAACUGAGUGCCCAAGGCUGUCUGAAGACUCCUCCAGAAGUGCGAUACGAACCUCGGGUCUCGGUCGGAUACUAUCGAAGUGGGCACGCCAUGCAACCUCACUAUCUCAUCCAAGUACAACUGAGCGAGUCUCUCUCUGGACCAAGUGGUCUGCACUGGUAAGAAGUGAGCAGACUUGGUCAGUCUGUCCACUAUCACCCAAAUCGCGUCAAAACCACCCUGAGCUCUCGGCAAUCCGACGACAAAGUCCAUCGUGAUCUGCUCCCAUUUCCACUCGGGCACUGGUAGACUCUGAAGCUUGCCAGCAGGUACCUGAUGCUCGGCCUUUACCUGUUGACAAGUCAGACACUGAGCCACAAAUCUACCAAUGUCCCUCUUCAUUUCAUUCCACCAAAACUGGGCCUUUAAAUCCUUAUACAUUUUGGUUCCACCGGGGUGAACAGUAUAAGGUGAACAGUGAGCCUCUCGCAAGAUGUCCUCUCGGAUCUCUGAAUCCAUAGGUACACACAGUCGGUCCCUGUACCGCAGUACUCCCGAACUGUCCACAGCAAAACCCUCAGCCUGUCCCCUCUCAAGCUGCUCUCGAAUCCUCGACAAGUGUGGAUCUCCACUCUGUUUCUCUCGAAUCCUGUCCAACAGAGUGGGCUGUAAGAUCAUAGACGUCAAUCUCGCAGUAAAUCCAGGGGAAACUAUCUCGAGUCCCAGCCGUCUCAGCUCCUCGAGUAACGGUCUCUGCCGAGUGAUCAACAUACUCAAGCUCUGCACUGCCUUCCUGCUCAACGCAUCUGCCACCACAUUCGCCUUGCCGGGAUGAUACUGGAUACUGAUGUCAUAGUCCUUCAGCAACUCCAACCACCGGCGCUGUCUCAAAUUCAACUCCUUUUGGGUGAACAGAUACUUGAGACUUUUAUGAUCAAUAAAAAUCUCACAGUGCUCGCCGUACACGUAAUGCCGCCAGAGCUUCAAAGCAAAAACCACCGCGGCAAGCUCCAAGUCAUGCGUAGGGUAAUUCUUCUCAUAAUCUUUUAACUGCCGUGAAGUAUAAGCAAUCACCCUACCAUGCUGCAUCAGCACGCAACCAAGUCCACUGUGCGAUGCAUCACUAUAGAUCACAAAUCCUUCGCCCAUAACAGGAAGGGCAAGGAUAGGAGCCUACAUCAACCUCAAUCUCAACUCGUCAAAGCUCCUCUGACAGUCGUCGCUCCAGACAAAACGUAUCCCCUUCCGCGUCAAGCGUGUGAGGGGUGUGGAAAGCUUCGCAAAGCCUUCCACAAACCGACGGUAAUAUCCUGCCAGUCCCAGGAAACUCCGUACCUCAGUCACCGUCGUCGGUCUAGGCCAAUCUCGAAUCGCCUCAAUCUUUUUCGGGUCCACUGCUACGCCCUCAGCUGAAAUCACGUGGCCAAAGAAAGUAACCUCCCGUAACCAGAACUCGCACUUUUUUAACUUGGCAUACAGCUUCUUCUCUCGCAGAAGCUGUAGCACAAUCCUCAAGUGCUCCUCAUGCUCAGUAUCACUCCGGGAGUAAAUCAGGAUAUCGUCGAUGAAGACUACCACAAACCUAUCCAAGAACGGCUUGAACACUCUGUUCAUCAAAUCCAUGAAGGCGGCAGGGGCAUUCGUCAAUCCAAAAGGCAUCACCGUGAACUCAUAAUGCCCGUACCGAGUCCGAAAAGCCGUCUUGGGAACAUCCUCGGCCCUCACCCUCAGCUGGUGGUAACCUGACUGGAGAUCAAUCUUCGAAAAGACACAAGAUCCUUGCAGCUGAUCGAAUAGAUCAUCAAUGCGCGGCAGAGGAUACUUGUUCUUGAUGGUCACUUUAUUCAGCUCCCGGUAAUCUACACAUAACCUGAGCGAACCAUCCUUCUUCUUUACAAAUAACACCGGCGCUCCCCAAGGCGACACACUGGGUCUCACAAACCCUCUAUCCAUCAGAUCCUGAAGUUGCGCCUUUAGCUCUCUCAGCUCUGCCGGUGCCAUCCUGUAAGGUACCUUUGAGAUUGGUGCAGUUCCAGGAACUACAUCAAUCACAAACUCAAUCUCCCUCUCCGGUGGCAACGUCGUCAACUCAGGGGGAAACACAUCCGGGAACUCGCGGACUACGGGGAUGUCCUCGAGUCUCGGCGCCGCCGUAGGUACCUCCACAACUGUCGCUAGGAAAGCGAUACACCCACUGCUCAGCAUCUAUCGAGCCCUCGCCGAAGAUAUCCAGGUGGCAAACAGCGCGCUCCUGCAGCCUCUGAAAGUAAACUCCUCCUGGCCUGGUUCGCGGAACGUCACCGUCCUCGCUCCACAGUCGAUCGUAGCAUAGUACCGUGCCAGCCAAUCCAUACCGAGCACUACGUCGAAGUCCUGCAGCUGCCCUAACACCAACAGGUCUGCGGGCAUGACCCACGAGUCUAAUUGCACCGGACAGGACCAACAACACUCUGUAACCUGCAAGACAUGGUCGGGGAUCUGCACCUCUCGUGCCUGAGACAACGCUCCUAACUCUAGACCAUGCAACAAUGUAAAUGCUCGGCUAACAAAGGAAUGGGAUGCACCGGUAUCAAAAAGAGUGCGAACUCUAAUGCCAGAAAUCAAAGUGAUACCUGCCACCACUCGGUCGGCUGCUGAAGAGUCCUCCAUCUGAGCUGCAUAGACCCUGCCACUCGGAGCCUGCUGUCGCCGCUCACUCGACCGCGGCACAGACGAUCUAUCCUCCUGGCGGUAGCUCGGUGCUGCUCCAUAAGACUGCUGUGGUGCUGGUGGUGCUGAAGCUGAUGACGGUGCUGGAGAUGCUGCUCGGGGACAAGCUACCCUCAUGUGUCCCGGCUGACCACAUCCGUAGCACCUGCCCUCUCUCUACUCGCACUGCCGAGGCCAGUGUGGUCCCCCGCAGAUCACACACUGUGGCGCCCUCUGAGUCUGCCCCUGCUGACGGGAUCCCCUGGAACGCUGACGCUCCGAAGAACCACGACCCUGAGAACGUGAUCGUGGAGGUCUCGGCGGACGUCUGCUGCUCGACUGCCCUCCGUCAUCUGGAAAGGGGCGCUUCCUAUCCUGACCCUGCCCCAAGGCCUGAGUCCUCUCCUGCAGCGACACCUCACCUCUCUCCACCCAUAGGGCCUGCUCUAUGGACGCAUCCAGGGUCCUCGACCUCUGCGCCCGCACUAACCUGAAGAUGUCCGGUCUCAGCCCCUGCUCGAACAUGUAUACUCUGUGCGCCUCGUCUCUGGCCACAAAUGGUACACAGUUCAGGAGUCGAGUAAACUCCCGAACGUACUCCUGUACUGGGCGAUCUCCCUGCUGAAGCCUCCUCAAAUCCUCCUCGAGCUUCUGCUUCACACUGUUGGGAAAGAACAUCCCAAACAGCAUUCCACAGAACUCAUCCCAACUCAGCUGCGCCGCCACUAGCCCUUGGUCUCGCCUCGUUCUCCGCCACCAGUCAUGAGCAUCACCUGCUAGACAGUGUACUCCCAGGGGUACCUGCUCCCCCUCUGGAACGAACAGAUCCUCGAAUAACUUCUCCAUCGCACUGACCCAUCCCUCAACAAUCCAGGCCUCAGUGCCUCUGCCAUCGAAGAUCGGUGGAUCAAAUCGGCGAAAACGAGCUAACCUCUCCGUCCACCGCUCCUGCUCAGCCUCAGUCAACGGUACUGGCCCCCUAGCAGGCGCAACUGGCGCUACUGGAACUGCUGCCGAUGGAGGAACUGCUGCAGCUGGUGCUGUCACUGGAGUAGUCGGGGGUGGAACUGGCGACUCUGGUGCCCUCGGUACAGAACUCGGUGGCUGAGCUAUCAUCUCACACAACCUCUGCAAUAGCUCCCCCUGCUGUCUCGUCACCUCAGUCAGGGCAGCCAACUGUGCACUCAAAUCUGGGGAUGCACUCGCCUCCGGUCGGGCCCUCUGCUCUACAACUGGGGGUGCACUCGCCUCUGCCUGCUAAGGCAUCUCGGGAAAUCCCACACGAUCCCGCGCCAACUGGGCACGCUCCCGCAACGACGGUCGACCUCGGCGACGAUACAUAGCUGAAAAGAACAAAUCGGGGUCAGAUACAACACAACACUAUCGACCCAAUCAACGAAAGUCUAGAAGGCGGUCCCUGUUUCCCUCCAAAAUUAUGUCGUCUGCAGCCAACAUAAUUUCUCAGGCCAAAACAGGAACUCCUUCAGUCACUCACUCCACUCUAGGAGGAGUUAGAACAAAUAAUCAUUGACUUUCGCAAUAAAUUCCGCCUCUAGCGUCUUGCUUUCCUAAGGUUCGCCAAACUUAGGUUUUCUAGGUCCCAACGACCUAUAGGUAAGCUCUGAUACCAACUUAAUCUGUCACGCCCCGGAUUACACGUUCCCCGGGCACGCCGACAAAUCCGCCGUAUACAAAGAAAUUUUUCCUGUAUACGAAGCGAUAGCUGUACCUGUAAAUCAAACACUACUACGAACAGUAGUAGAGAGCUGCUAGAGAAAACUGAAGCUAAAUAAAACAGAGUUUCAUAUACAUAGUUCAGAUCCAAAAUACAGAGCUACUCGCACUGGCGAGUUAAGUCAACUAUAUACAUAAACUCGAAACAAAACAUCUACCUGCAGUAGGGCACCUCUAGCUCAGCACGUCGGGUAGGGCUCUAACUCGCGACGCCCUUGCCUCGAUCCUGGUCCGCAGACGGUGCACAGGUCCGAACCUGUGGCUCUGCAAAAACAUGGUCAAUGACUGGGCGUAGAACUACUGUAAAAACAGUAGUCUCAGUGGGUAUGCCCAAACAACAUCUGUCACAGCCACUAGUCUACAGAAGGAGCAAUAGAUAGAAGGAAAGACAGGAAGCAUACCUCUACCGCUAUCAUCCACUACACUAUCAUGCCUCACACUAACCAACUGUAGAAUUCAAAUCGACAUCCGAAUCCAAUCGGGGACUCGUAAGCAAUACCCGUCCCCGGGACUGUGAAUUACCCGUCCCUGCCCGCCGUUGUGACUAUCAGCUCUAUCCACACUAACUGGUCCGUGUGAGAGCAAAUCCAACUGGCAUGAGCGAGCACAAAACCGCGAAAGCAGUCAAAGCCUGACUCCGGAGUGGCACGCGUGGGCGCUACCCCACCGAGUAUCAGCGUAAUCUCUGUCGAGCCUCAAACAGGCCUCCAACUAAGGCCAAAGUCAAGUAAAGCAGGGUCAAAACAGGUCGAACAAACCAAACCAACGGUGCCGCUCUGGCACAAUGUGUGACAACAAGAAUCUGGGUCCACCGCUAACCCGAAGGCACCAAAGCGAACCGCGAAACCGCCUAAACUCUGCUGAAAAAUAAGCUCGCAUCUCACAGCGGAGCGGUAAAUGCCCUUCUAAACUACUGGGGUACCACACACAACCCGAAUAGACAAUAAGCUGUAUAAAAAUACAACGGCCCCUAAGCUGAAAUCAGGUAGUUAACAUAGUGCCGAUCGUUAUCGGCGUUUUCUCCUAAGUCAAAUUCCAAGUCCAACAUGUAAUGUUCUAUAUUUAUUAAUACAAUGUCAUCAAUCGUAUUUAUGCCAAGAUAUAAUCAAUGAGAUAGAGGCUUACAGCAUGAAUUUACUACAACUUACCAAGUCAUACAUGUCGACUAAUCUAUACUUGCAGAUUUACCACACUCAAAGCUAAAUUCAGAAUAGCGAGAAGUCGAAUAGAAGAAGAAUUUUCGCGCAUGCUUUCGGCCUCUAUUCUUCUAUAUUUCGGCACUAACCCCACGACGCAUUCGCGAACGCUCCAACGGCUCGGCCGGCGGCGAAGUUAGACCGUCACCCAAGCUCCUGCACUAUAGCCUCCACGAUUCUUCCUUUCUCAAAACUAGAGAGAGAGAGAAAUUGUUAAUAUCACAAUUUCGCUCUGGCAUCUCAGAAGCCGUAUAGGCGACAAAUAAGGUGCAAUGGGGAGUGCACGUGGCAUCCAAAGCCACCCCCAUGCAUCACCAACCGACUACAAAGAAGUAAAUAAAUAAAUAAAUAAAAUAAAACAAGGAUACUACAUCAAAAUAACAUGAAAUUUAAUUUCUAGAUAGUUUAAAUAGUCUAAAUCAUAUUCAAAGGUGCCGAUCGUUGAUUUGAAAACUCUAUCAUUGAAAACAAAUCAGUAGUAAAUCGAGCUGGUUACUACCAAUAGUAUUUUAGCAAAGCUCUCUCUCUAUAUAUAUACUAGUUAAGCGUAUAUGCACGCCGUCAUACAACAAUUGGCAAACAAUUAAAGUUAAUUAUAAUUAAUAAACUCGAAUCAUAUAAAUCAAAUAUAAUUAUUCAAUAUACUAUCGAUUUUGAUAGUAAUAGCAAAAUAGGAUAUUAUUUUAUCUAUUUUAUUAAUCUAUUUCUUGAGUUGUAAACUAGAUCGAUAUUGAAAUGUGGAAGAAUGUGAUAUUCCAAUUCGUAUUAGUAAAAUUUUAUAACCUAGUUCGUCCAAUUAUCUUAAUUUUUUAACCUAUUUAAAAUAGCGGCAAAGUACUUAGGAGGAUAAACGAGCCAUAAACUUGUGAGAGCAAUGCUACUGAUACACUUGUCAUAUCAUUUUUUUUUAAUUUUUAAAAUUAAAAUUUGUUUUCGAUCUAUAAAUCUUUAGAUCAAACAGAUAUAAGAUGUAUAUAGCAUGUAGCAAUAUUUUUAUUUAAAAGUUUAAAGUAAUUAAUGAAUUUGAUUACAAAAAUGAGAGCAUCUAUGUCACCAACUACCUCUUGCAUGGUACUACAAUAAGCUUGACCCAAUUAUUUAUAUACAAUUCACACUCUCACAGUACAGUACCCCUUCAUGCAGCUGGAAACUAUAGUACACCAAAAAAAAAUUAAUAUAUAUAUUCUAUAUAUUUUAUUAUUUUAUGUGUAAUUGUAAUGGCUAAAUUAGGUCUAAUUUAUUGUUGACAAUUUCCAACUACAAAGUGUAGUAGUUGUUGUUGUUCUUUCUCUUUAGACUUAGCCCUCCUUUGGUUUCUCUCCUCUUACCUCUACUCCCAUGCAAACACCUCCACCUACUUAUUGUCAUAGCAACAAACAUUGCACCACCCCAAUUGAGUCCUAAAAGAAAAAAAAAGAACACUCUAAAUGAGUUCUCUUUCUCCUUCUCCUUUAUCUACUUCUUCUUCACAUGUCUUAUGUUGGUUUCUCCUUUCUCUUCUUCUUGUUUUCCUCCUUCAUGGAUCGUGCGACGGAUACCGUAUCAGGGGCAGACUGCUAGUCGACUGGCGAAACGAGGGGCUCCAGCAUCAAGCGACACAGACGGGCUUCACCGUGCGCAGUCGAACGUUCGAUUUCCUCCCAAGGGGGGUGCCGAUCCCCCCUUCGGGCCCCUCCGAUCGUCACAACUCCGCGCUCCACUCCAUCAAUCACAACCAAGUGCUCCCCCCCUAGCUAUGUAGCAUACAAGCCUUACAAUUCCUUCUAUUCAGUCCUAAACUCCUUAUCCUUUUAUCCUUCUUUCAUUUUCUUUUAUCUUUUUUUUUUUUUUUUGUUUCCUCCAUUUUUCAAUAGAUGGAUGAGAAAGCUUUUCCCAUGUACAUCAUGCAAAUGGAUUUGUUUUGUAUAAGUUUUAUAUGUUAAGAAGGUUUACAAUUUUGUAAUGUUAUACUAUAUAUGAUUAUUAUGUGAGAAAAUAUAUUGUUCUAUAUAUGUUUAGCCAUAUUCAUGAAUGCAUUAAUUGUGUUCUUAUAGUCCUUUUCUUAUCCAUUUCAUGCAAUUGAAGCUUCUUUUCUUUUUUUUCUUUUUUUUCUUUUUUUUCUUUUUUUUUUUUCUUUUCUCUCCUAUAGUUAAUUAUUACUAGGCUAAAUUGCACUUUUGGUCUGCAUGACAUUUUUUUACUCUGACUUUAGUUUAUUGUAAUUUCAAGUUCGAACUUUUUAUAUUGUUAUAAUCAAGUCCUACUGAGCCAUUGUUUUGGUUGAAUGAUAAUAUACUAUUUAUAUGAAAUUAAUAUCUUAUUUUAAUUAUUUCCACAUCAUAAACUAUACAAUUAUUAUAUCACUGUCACAUUAACGCCACAUCAUCUUUUCAUCAAAUUGAAUUGCCCUAUGAGAGUUUGAUCAAUUGCAACAAUCUAGAAAUUAAGUUUGCACAAAAAAAUACAAUAAAUUAAAAUAUGAGGACCAAAGUGUUACACAUCGUAUAGUUUGAGAACCAACGGUGCAAUUUAACCUUAUUAUAUUAUUAUUAACGUAGUUGAAUAUAUCAAAUAGGAUAAAACUUCAGUGGGAAGCUCCCCAACAACGCCUUAUUGGAAAGCCCCCGCUCUAUUGUCAUAUGUUUGUUUUGUUUUUUUAUCAUUAAUUCAUUGAGUGUUUUUCGAUACUAAAAUAAAAAAAAAAAUCAUAGAUAAAAGAAUUAUAACUUUUGAAUUGAAAUAUAAAUAACACAUGACGUCAGAUUAAGGCUCCUCAACAAGAUGUCGUCGAAGAGCUCCCCACUAAAGUGUUUUCUGAACAAAAGCAUCUCUCUCUUCUCUCUCUCUCUCUCUCUCUCUCUCUUUUUGAAUUGAAAUAUAAAUGACACAUGACGUCAGAUAAAGCUCCUCAACAAGAUGUCGUCGGAGAGCUCUCUACUGAAGUGUUUUUUUGAACAAAAGCAUCUCUCUCUCUCUCUCUCUCUCACAUGUUUGUUGUUAAUUACUUAGUUAUGGUUACACAUGGUACUGGAUGUGACUUAAUGAAAGGGUGAUGUGGAGGGAUUUUAUUGGUGGAAGCAAAACUACCAACUGCUCCAUUGUUGAGCAUUGACCCCCAGAGGCCAAUGGUGAUGUGGGAUUUUACCCCAACUGAACCACUUUAGGUGGACAAGUUAUUCCAUGGACCUGGUCCAUAUACUAGGGUGUACAAAACUCAAAUUUAGAGGCCAAAAAAUGUGAAUGUAGAUUGUUAGAUGUGUUCUUCAACACUUAGAACAUGUUUAGUUCACCUAUUUUAAACUACACAAUCGGAAUAAAAUUGACUAAUUCUGAUAGCUCUUGUUUAUUUUAUAGUAAUCAUAUUCCGAUUCCCAUUUCAUUCUAGAAUGAGAAUGGUUCAAUCCUUUAAUGGCCUAAUAUGGAUUUGAAUUUUGGAUUGGCCUAAUCCAGAAAAAAUCAGUCAAAAUUCUCUCUCAUAAACACCUCUCUCUCCUUUAACCAAAACUUUUCUCUCAAAAUUCUUAAUGUCCUUAUUAUCUAUUCUGGUUUCUGUUCCAAUAAUGAGUCAAAUAUUUUUAACUGAUUUGUCAUAAUAUUAGUUUUUUAUUCCAAUGCAAAUCCAAUUCCAUUUCUUACUUCCAUUCCAAUCAUGAACUAAGCAUAACCUUGGGGAGAUAUAAUUACAUCUAACCAAACUGUCCCCUUAUAAAGAUCUAAGCUAUAUAUAAGUUUCAAUCCUAUUGUCACAGACUAAGGGCAUGUUCGUUUCACCGAAACUGAACUUUAGGUUGAAGUAGGCUUCGGGCUAAAGUGGAGUUUGGUGAAAACUAUUUCUUUCCUGUUGUUUGUUUUGUAGUUAUGAAAGUAAAGUUUCAUCAGUUCCGCUAUUUGUUUGGUAGGAAGUGUGUGAUGUAAAAUUAUAAUUUAUAUAUAAAUAUUAAAUAAUUUAAUAAAUAAAAAUAAUAUAAUUAAAAUUUAGUUUAAAGCAACUAAAUUAUUUUUUUAUACAUAAAUUAUAGUAAUACAACAAUAAAAUUAUAAAGUAAAAAAAAUAUUAAUACUUAAUUAAUCAAUUUUUAGCAUAUUUUAAUUGUACAAACUAAGUAAAAGAAUAUUAAAACUUAACUAAUCAAUUUUUAUCAUAUUUUAAAUAUGCCAACUUAAUAAAAAAAUGACUAGUAUAUCAUAAUUAAGUAUAUUUAAAUAUAACUAUCUUUACUUAGUAUAUUAUUUUAUUAAUUUUUCUUCACCCCCCUUCACCGUAGUUGAUUUCAGCCCACGAUGGGCCGACGCCGUUUCAGGUUAAUUCGAGUUUUGAUCGUAAUUUUUUUACGGUGAAUCAAACAGUGGAAGUGAUCGUUUAUGACGAAAACGACUUCUCCCGCUCCACUUCCACUUCCACCCAAACAAACAUGCCAUAAGUGUUUUUGCUCGCAAAUCCCGUACGACGACCGCUUUUCUGCUCGAAGAUGGGCAAGUCUAGCUCCUUAUUGCUAGCCUGGACUUCCGCGCCUUACGACUAAGUAUACAAAAAGGAGAGGAGAAAAAAUAGAGAUUUUCAAAAAACUAAGUACUCCACUACUUAGAAAAAAAGACUGUACACACACUCUCUUCUUAUUUUUGGCCAUAAUCAUCCCUAGAAUUUAUAAGCCUAAGAUACAUUGAAUCUAGUCUACACUAACUCACCACUAACACCACUAAUCAUACAUUAACUCGCCCACUAUCACAUAGUAAAAAGCCUUCAUGAAUGUUUCAUGAAUGCAAGGUGAUCCGCUCAUGACCCUUGGGUUUUCGCUGACGGUUUUGAAGCCAUUAAGUUCAGCAGUUACAUGACUUUUUAUCUCCAACCAUGACUACUGGUUUUGGGCCUCUUUGACUAGCGAAAUUGGGCCAGGGACUCGGGCUACACGAUAAUUUUGCUAAGUCCGUGACAUUAUGGUUUCAGAAGCUACACUAUUAUUUUAUUAUUAUUUCAUUGUAGCAAGUUAAUAGGAAAAUAAAGUAGUAUUUUCCACAAACUGCAAUGGUAGAGAGUACAAAUUAUAAAAUGGUAAAAUAUAGAAUACAAUGUUUCAUUGGUCAUUUGCAACUGUUGAUAAUGGUUAAGGUAUGUAUCCACCAUAAAUGCAGAGAGUAAAUGAAGAGUAAAUGAAAAGAUGUACACAACAAGGACAUGCAUGCAUGUGCUCAGAGUAUCAGAAAAAAUAAGAGCUUUGUUUUGAAGUUCUAUCUUACAUAAUAAUGAAAAGCUUGGUUCAUCAACUUAAAAUUUCGAAAAUAUUUACGAUAUUAAUGAAAAGGGCCAAAUGACUAAAUUAUCUUUACUUAUUUUAUAAAAAAAAUAAUUUUUUUUAUAUAUUUCUAUCAUUUUCAAAAGUAUUUUGACAGAAUCCUAACGAAGAAGGACUAAAUAUAUCAACUUAAAAUUUUGAGGCCACAAAAUAUAAAUUUUUAAAACUCAAAGAAAAUAAAAAAUGAAUAUUUACAAAAAUACUUUCUGUAUUUAAUUUAGUGAAAAAAAAUAUUUGCCUAGCAUUUAGUCCUCAUAUAAUGUGCCAAAAAACUCCUUGCACAAAUCACUAUCAUGUUGUGCCAAAUCAUAGAAACAAAUAGUGUAGAGAAGGUCCAAGAGUUCUCCAAAGACAAAAUCUAAUAUACUAAUAAAAGAAAAAAAACACAAGGUGCUGGAGUUUUCCAAGGAUCAUAUCUCAUUCAAUCAAAAGCCAUGCAUGAAGUUAUUUAUCUUCCAACCAAUAAAAUAACAAUAGCAAGGAUCCAAGGCUUUCAUUAACCACAAAAAAAUAUAUACAUAUUUUUGUCAUAUGCUUGGGGUGCAUGUGGCACGAAGGAUAUUCCGGAAUAGAAAGGGAUAUCCCUCAAUUUUUAGCCAAACGCCAGCAGCACUAGUGGGAACGGGUUGUUCCGGUCAAAGCGGCGGGUUGUUCUGGAUUGUUCUGGAAUAAUCCGUUAAAAAUUGUUUCUAGAAAAACUGAGAACAACUUUGUUCUUCUAUUUAUUUUAUUAGAUAAAUAGAUAUGUAAAUAAAUAUAUUAAAAUAAGUAUUAUUUUUAUGAUAAUAUAUUUAUACUUAAAUUUUAUUAUAUAAUAUAAAUUAAUUAGAUUUGAUAUAUUAUUUAUUUUAUUAAGUUUUAUUAUUUAUAUAUUAAUAUUUAGUUAUUUUUUUAUAUUAAGUAUUAUAUAUAUAAUUAUUAUUUCAUGCAUUAUAUAUUUUUUAAAAUUUGUAUUGAAAUUUAUACUAUUAUUAAUUAAAAUUAUAAGGAUAUCUUUACAUAUAUUAUAAAUAAAUUAUAUAAAAUAAAUUGUUACUAUAUAUAGUAAAAUAAAUAUACUAUUUUAAAUUAAAUUAUUAUAUAAAAUAUUAUAUUAUAAAUUACUAUAAGAAAUAAUUUUAUAUAAAAUAUACUAAUAUAAAUUAAUUAUUUUAUUUCUUUUAAAAAAUAUUUAGACAUUGUUCUACACUUUUAAUUUAUCCAAAUGCUACUAAGGAUACACUCUAGAAUAUCCCCGAAUGCAUCCAAAUAUAAAUUUACAAUUGUUCUUUCUUGUACCGGAAUAUCCCAUGUUCUCAGAAACAACAAAAGUUGUUCUUCAAAUUUUAGUUCUCCAACCAAACGCAGCGUAGAGGAAUCCGGAAUCUAAUCCACGUAAAAAAUUUAAGUACCAUGACACUUAAUAGUACCAAAACUUUAUCAAUUCAAUAUGACAAGAUGCAUGUCAGUCAUAAAACAUACAUAUAUGACAACGCAAAAUAGCUUAAAAUAUUUAUUUUAGCAAUAAAAUAUUAUAAUUACUUAUUAUAUGUUUUUAUCAAAUUUUUUAUCAUUAUUAAGAGUUUUAAACUGUGCUAUCGGUACAAAGAACAUACGUACAAAAUGGAUAUGAUUUGUGUGGAUGGGCCCUUAAAUUUUUCAUCCACAUAAUGUGCCAAAAAUACCUACUCAAGUCACUAUCAUAAUAUGUCAAAUCAUAAGAGUAAGAGUUUUCCAAAGAUAAAGUCUAGCAUAUUAGACUUUUCUGUUAAAAAUACGAAGCAAUCAUUUUUUUCCAAAAGCUUAACCUAUUUAAGAACAGUGUUUUUUUUUCCUUUUAUAAUUUGACACUUCCCCUUGCGCCUCUUUGAAACCAAGUUAAAUUGUACGGAACAGUCAUUUUUCUCCGAAGUUUAAGCUGUCAGAUAAUGGUAUUUUUAUAAUUUUAUAUUCGACAUUUUUUUAAGAUCAAAUUUGAUAUUAGUCAACCAAGAAUCUAGACACAUAAUGUGCCAAAAACUCCUACACAAAUCACUUCCAUAGUAUGCCUAAUCAUAAAAAGGGUACAACUGGUGUAGUGAAUGCCCAAGAGUUUUUUAAAUCUAAUUCACUCAACUCAUGAAGCUCUUUAUCAAAUUUUGGGAAAAAAAAUGUUUAUCCCUUUUUGUUUAAUAAAAAGGGGCGAUUAUUUACAUACUCCUGAAAAUUUUCAGAGUUUCUGAUUUACCCAUUUUAGAAGACUAAUAUUAAAAUUACUCUUUUAACAUUCCAAGUUAUCCCAAAUAUUUUCUUAGAAGUAAAUUUUGUUAGCGAAUUGUUAGCAACAACUGUUAUCUUCAUAAAAUUACUAUUUUGCCCUUUCAAAUAUCUUCUAUUGUCAGUAACUUUUUUUAUUUGCCCUUUUAAGGGCAUGUUUGGUUGCCUGUAAGGGAAACAAUAAAAGUAGUAUUUUGACGAAGUGAGAUUAUUUCGAUUGUUUGGAUUAUGAAAGUAAAUAUGUAAGUGACUUUUGAGAAGUGAACCCAUGAAAUGGAUUAUAACUAAAAUUCACUUUUUUGACUUCGGCAAAAAAAAUUCCGAAGUCGUUGAAGGUGGGCCGCCUACUCCACGCGACUUAAGAACCGCAUCCAAAAAUCUUCUACAAUACCUUUUACAAAAAGUAAAAAAUAAAAAAAAAAAAACCACCGUAUCUUAAAAAAAAAAAACCAACACAUCUUAAAAAAAAAAACAACAAAAAAAGAAAUGUACCUUAUUCCAUACCAUCUACAAAAAAAAAAGAAAAAGAAAAAAAAAACUACGCAUCUAAAAAAAAUCAUUUUCUUUUUUUAUUUUUUUAUAUAGAACCAAACAAUAGAAGUCAUAAAAAAUGUAUUUUUUUUCUUUCACUUUUUUGAAACCAAAUAAUUAAACUCAAAAGUGAUUUUUAUAAAAGUUACUUUUUGAAAAGUGACUUUUUUCACUUUGAUCACUUACGGAUAACCAAACAUGCCCUAAGUUAAAGACAAAAGAAGUAUUUUAAUUUUUUAUCUUUUCAAAUAUAUUUUUUUACUAUCACUAACUUUUUUUAUUCGUUCUUAAGUUAAGGGUAAAAGAAUUAUUUUGAUUUUUUUUUAUUAACUAUGGUAGAAAUUUAACCCUGAUUUAAGCUUAGGUUGAUAUUGAGGCGUAUCUAACGCUAUUAAAUAAAAUGAAGUUGGGAUAAAAGCAUACUCUCGUUGGAAUCGCAGAAAAUAUAUUGUAACCAACUAAUCGCGAUAUGCAAAAUGUAAUAUUACGUAUGGAAACAAAUAUGAUAUUUUUUCAUCGUACUUUCUCACAGCAUUGUCACGCCCCGAGACCGCUACCAAUUUGGUUCGGCCCGGGCGCGUCGAACAGACGCCGAACGGACAGAACCUCCCCUGUCCGCCCAAGGCUAACCAACAGAUCAUGUAUAAGAAUUUUACCCAGGAAUCAAUUCAUAAAUACACGAUCAAGAAGCACCACCAGUGCAACAACUAAGAGCAAGAUACUAGUAUAAAAACAUAUACAAGUAUAUAAAGAGAGAAGAGGCUAUCUAUUACAUUCAUUCAGCCUUUAUAAUACAACUUGAUUAUACAUUAAGCUUCUAAACAUAAUAUAAAGCUUACAUCUUUCAAAAUAUAAACAUUAGCUUACAUCCAUCCCAAAAUAGCUCACAUCCUAUACAUCAUCUACUCUCAAUGUAUAUAAAGGUAACUCUAAUGCAGAAAUAGGAAAGUAAACUAAUGCAACUAGGGCGCUAAGCCCAUACCGCGAUCCUCGCCGUGUGAACUCGCGCUCGGCCCUGUAGUAAAAUGGGGGUGAGAACUAACUUCCUUAGUUCCCAGUGGGUUCGGCCGCCGACUCCGCCGAUCUCCCCACUAGGUCCAAGUUGGGCACAAGUAGAUAAUCGAUCGAUAGAUAGAUAGGAAAGCAGUAAAUGACAGAAGUAAAGGUACUCUACUAUGCCCAAUCAUAAAGAUAUGAAUGCAUGUACAAUGAAAUAGGUAAGCAACUAACCCAUUACCAUGUCCAAAGGUAAAGCCAUUUACUCGUUCAUCAAUCUCAUUUACUUGUUUCUUAAUCUCGUGGCUUCCCCGAAGGAGCCUACAGCUCACUAGCCAUCUCGAAGGUAGGGAGGGUCAACUCGCACUACGAACCGAGACCGUCUGCCGGGGCCUUAAUAGGCAAUCCCUUGGGACCCGAAAUCGGCAAUCCCACGUGACCAACUCCGGAGCGCACUACUUGUGUGGGGCUUCCAUCACAAGAUUUAAAAACAGACCGUGAGCAUGAUCCAAUCCUCGUCUCGAGAAUACCCUAUCCUCUAGGGUUAUAACCAUCAUAUAGUCCAUAGGUUUCAUAUACACUAUGACUCACAUAUGUCACUUGUUCUUUUGUUUACUAUCAACCAGAUGCCACUCGUUCUUUACAAGUUUCCAAUGCAAUAGCCAAUGCAUUAUUAAAUUCCCAUCCACACUUAUCAUCUCAUUAUAGGGUUCCACAUCACAUAUAUAAACCUCAAGCAUGCUAUAUAUAAGUACGAAGCAAAAUACAUUAUUCUACCAAAGAACAUGCAAGGUAUAGGACCAAACCAUCAUUUAUCACCCUAUAAUGCAAGAUGUCAAUAUGCAAUUUGAUCAAUAUAAAACUUAGACAUAAAAGGGAGCCCGAUUGAUUCGGGAUGGACACCACCCACCUUUUAUAGCGAUCACGAUGGCUAGGGCUCCGGUUUCGUCAUUCUCGCAAGCUUUCGGCCGCAAGCCGCGGCAAACUGCACCCUAACGGCUUCGACCUUCAAUAUCUUCGCGUACGUUCGUCGUACCGCCGAAACGACCUCGCCAUACGCGAUCAGAAAACCUAAAAGUAUUAGGUUUAUACAUGAUCAAGAUAGAUCAAAAUCCGUUCACAAGACAAAACGACGCCGCUCUCGAUGCCCUCUAAGAGGAAACUUUGCAAGAACUAAACACCCGAUCUCUAAAUUCGAGCAUCAACCAUCUAUCCAGCAUCAACGAGUAUCACCAAACCGUCACUUCCAACGCAUAUAAAUCACUGACCUAGCAAUCUACCAUUACGGAGCGAUCAAAGCUUACCGAUCAAACCCAAGCAUAUCUCCAAGCCAAUGGUGAAGAAAAGAAAGCUUCACCCCUAAGCAAGCAAUUACUUCCCCAAAUCAAUCUCAAAUUCUCUUAAAUGGAGAAAUAUGCUAGAGGGAAAGAUCAUUAGAGGCUACUAGGUUAACUGCGUAAAGCAAAGAGAGGAAAGGCCAAAUCCUUCAUAUAAACAUACACAAAUAGGAAACUUGGCCUCCAAGUUAUCCAAGAACACGUCGCUCCAACGGGCGCACGAAAGCUCAAUCCGUCGCCUCCAACGCGUUCGCAAGCUCGAUCUCCACCAACGCCGCGAAUUUGGGCGAGAAAUAUGGAGAGAUGAGAGAGAUAUUUAGAGAGAGAAAAGGGAGAGUUUCUCUCACUACACCAUGAACGUAUGGUAGUGGUAAUGGUGGUCGGCUGAUGGAGAGGGAGAAGCCUAGUAGCUUCUACUUAUAGUCAACCCUCAAUAGUAGCAUACACUAUUCACAUCAGGCAGCUCCAAAUCUGAUAUCUUUCGCCGGAACUCCCUGAAUAUCCGUUUGAGCUCAAAUCUGACAGUCAUAUUCGGUUUUACUUAAAGAGUCCAAAGAAAUUUUAAUCUUUCAGUUUCGACCCCGUUUGGUCACCGAAAACUGUGCCGAACUGCAAUCUUUAUCAGAUGGCUUUCGGAUUUUAUUUCUCACUCUACGGGUGUCAGAAUGGCAUGAAACUUUAUAUCUAGCCUCAUAAAAAUAUUUCUGACAUCCCCGCCAAUUUUCAUAAUUUUCUGAGACUGUGCAUUUUCUGCUAAUUUUUCUAUCCCGUUUCCAACAGAAAAUUCUAGAUCUUCUGUUUUCAUCCCGAUUUCAGCACAAGUCACUUCUGACUUAUGUUUUACUUCUCUAAAUCCAAUAAAAUAGUAUCUCAUACUAUUUUUAUUUAUUUAUUUAUUUUUUAUGUUUUUAUAUUUAAAUCCGGUAUAUUACAUUACACCGCAACCUUACCGUAACCAUUUAAAUGGCUUUCCAAUCGAACGUACACCGUAACUUCAUGAUUUUCGAAGUCCGGUACCUUACAGCAUGUAAUGCAAUCUCCCCGCAAUCCCAAAUGAAUCCUUAAUCGGUAAUAACUGAACCGGUAUUUACAGCGAUAGUAUUUUUGAAUAACGGAGAAAUAUAUGAGAGAAUAUAUAUGCAACAAAAAUUAGAUAUUUUAGAAAUUUUUAGAGGCAUAUUAAAUAUUAU